rnacentral:rRNA from 1 species
AGCGAACGCUGGCGGCAGGCUUAACACAUGCAAGUCGAACGCCCCUUUCGGGGGGAGUGGCAGACGGGUGAGUAACGCGUGGGAACGUGCCCAUCGGUUCGGGAUAACCCAGGGAAACUUGGGCUAAUACCGGAUACGACCGUGAGGUGAAAGAACUUCGCCGAUGGAUCGGCCCGCGUCUGAUUAGCUGGUUGGUAGGGUAACGGCCUACCAAGGCGACGAACAGUAGCUGGUCUGAGAGGAUGAUCAGCCACACUGGGACUGAGACACGGCCCAGACCCCUACGGGAGGGAGCAGGGGGGAAUAGUGGAAGAUGGGGGCAAGCCUGAUCCAGCCAUGCCGCGUGAGGGAUGAAGGCCCUAGGGUUGUAAAGCUCUUUCGCACGCGACGAUAAUGACGGUAGCGUGAGAAGAAGCCCCGGCUAACUUCGUGCCAGCCGCCGCGGUAACAC